rnacentral:tRNA from 1 species
GCCCGGAUGGUGGAAUCGGUAGACACAAGGGAUUUAAAAUCCCUCGGCGUUCGCGCUGUGCGGGUUCAAGUCCGCUCCGGGUACCA